rnacentral:lncRNA from 1 species
CCUCAUUCUGUAGAAGAGGAAACAGGCUCAGUGAGGGGAAGCAAUCUGUCAAAGUCACACAGUGGCCAAGUGGGAACAAGAGGUCAGGUCUGUCUGGCUCUAGACCCUGGCCUUCCAACCUGAACCCUACACCAUGAGGCCUUCUUGGGAUUUCUUCCCAGACUGGGUGCCCUUUGAAGACAAGAUUGUCAGAUUCAUCUCUAGUGAUACCUUUGCCACCUGCACCUCACACAUACUCAGUAUUUGCCUAAUUGAAUGGGACCCUGAUCCCAUCCUCUUAGGUCAUGAGAGAGGGCUGCUGGAUCUAACUGGAUAUGGAUGCAGGACUGGGACAGGCUUUCUGAGCCUCUCACAUGUGAGAUCCUACACAGCUGUCACCUCACCUGACUUUUCCCUUUCAGCUUCCUGGGCAACCAACAUCAUCUUCCAGUGGAGGAGGAAGAGGAGGAGAGGGAGGAGAAAAAAGAACAUUUGUGAUUCAUGGGAAGAGGUCGAAAUAUGAACAUUAAUGGGAAUUUGGAAGAAGUUGAUUCCAACCCUCAUGGAUGGCAUUGAGGGGUCAAAACUAUAGUGGAGGAAGCCACUGGAGAUGAGGUGGAAUAGCAAGGGAACAACAAUUAGAAGUGAAGACUGAAAAAUGGGACUGACUUGCUGCAAUCUCAUGAUAAAACUUGAACAGAUGAGGAGGUGCUUCUUACGAAUGAGCAAAGAAAGUGAUUUUUUGAGAUGGAAUCUACUUUUGGUGAAGAUGCUAUGAAGAUUGUUGAAAUGUUUUAGAAUGCCACAUAAAUGUAAUUGAUAAAUCAGCAGCAGGGUUUGAGAAGACUGGCUCCAAUUUUGUAUUUUGGGGUUUUUAAAAUUUUAAGUGAAUAUAUAGUGCAAUAUUGGUUUCUGGAGUAGACUUCACUGAUUCAUUACCUACAUAUAACAACCAGUGCUCAUCACAAGUGCUCUCCUUAAUACCCAACCCCCAUCUAGCACAUCCCCCACCCACCUCCCUCCUCAGACCUUCAGUUUGUUCUCUAUCAUUAAGAGUCACUUAUGGGGACACCUGGGUGGAUCAGUGGUUGAGCAUCUGCCUUCAGCUUGGGUUGUGAUCCCAGGGUCCUGGGAUUGAGUCCAACAUCGGGCACCCAGCAGGGACCCUGCUUCUCCUUCUGCCAAUGUCUCUGCCUCUCUCUGUGUCUCUCAGGAAUAAAUAAAAUCUUUUUUAAAAAGUCA